CGUGGUAGUUCGAAGCAGAGAGAUUGACUACUGCUACUUAAGAAACUUAUUCUUAUCUUCGUAAGAGGAAAUUAUGUCUCUAAAUAAACAAACUAAAGCAGCGAUUAUCGCUGAAUAUGCCAAGAGCGAA
rfam:Candidatus Photodesmus blepharus strain Ppalp.1 contig4, whole genome shotgun sequence.